AUGUAAAUAAAAUCAUUUUCCUUGGCCUGACAAAAAAAAUCAUUUUUAGGGUUUUAUUAAUCAACCUAAACUUGGCCUAAAAAGGAAAUUAAACAAGAGUUCUGUUGGCAACUUAAGUGUGAUCGAUAGCAGCUUGUGUUGCAUCUCCCUUUUGAUCUAGGAUUUCAAGCGUUACUGUUGAUUCGAAAUGGAGACGCAACCUUCCAAGCUAGUAUUAUGGCAAUAUUGUGGAGAAACAGUGGGGGCAACAAAUGCAAACAGGAGUAAUUACUUUCCAGGAAAUAGUAGCAUUGUGGCACAAUUCAACUCGAGUGAGAGGCCGAGCUCUGAGACUAUGCAGUUAUCUAUAUUUCCAAAAUCCAGUUGGAACAGGCCUUGUAUAAUGCCAAUUGUAUCCACUCCCAAUGUAGAUGAAGGUAGUUUCAAGGCUAAUGUUAUCUUAAUGGGAACAGCUAAAAGAGCUGGAACUGGACCAUCUGUUGGAGCUGUGGACAUUGGUGCUAGCAAGACUGCCUACUAUUUUCGAGUUGCGCUACCUGGAGUGAAGAAAGAUCCUGUAGCAUGUUCUUCAUGACUCUACAAACUGAUGAUAGGUCAGUUUAGCUGUGAGAUUGAACGUGAUGGGAAGGUCCAUGUUCAAGGUGUGACAACAACUGGUGAAAAUUUGGUUUCAAGGCAUGCCCGAGUCUUUGAGAUGAAAGUACAGCAACAGUGUCCACCUGGUCCAUUCACACUUUCUUUUAGGCUACCUGGACCUGUCGAUCCAAGGCAGUUUUUCCCAAACUUCAGAUCUGAUGGCAUUCUUGAAGCUGUCAUUGUUAAAUACGAGUAAUAUCUAAUAAUCAACACAUAAUUAAGAUUCUGAACUUGUAGUUGCUGCAUCAUUCGGUAUAUAUCUGUCUAGGACUUGGAAUUUCCGUGCGUUGUUCCAUCUUACAUUUGCAUAUUAAAACUUUGUAUUGAGCCACUGAAACAUCUUAAUCAUCUGGUCUUGUGUUGAGUUUCUGA